rnacentral:lncRNA from 1 species
CGGCACCCCUACUAAGCAGACUCUAAUGAACAUACUCUUUUAUUGAUCCUUACCUAUGAGGUAAAGCAUCACUAUUCUCUAUAUUUUAUAGAGGAGUACAUGAAGUACAGAUGGAUUAAGAAGCUUACUCAAGAUCACACAUGAUGGAAGUAGCUGAGCCAGAACUCAGAUCUAGAUUGUCUGGUUCCUGAACCUAAGGCCCCAAAAGCUUUGCCAAAGGCCUCCAAUGAAAUGGAGUUUUUGAGUGAGGAGAAGACAAAUUCAUUCCCUGGGAUGAAUAAAAGUUGUCAAAUGGACAAAAUGGACAACUUUUCAAAGGCAAGUAUCUAUCUCAUCAAGGACACGAGUG